rnacentral:lncRNA from 1 species
GCGCCACAGGGGUCUCCAGGGCCCUCGCAGGUUGGGGUGGUCUGAGCUAGUCUGAAGGAGGACAGUCAGCUGACUUCUCCUUUAUCUCUCUUUCCCAGGAUAGCAGGUUCCCUUGGUGUAUUACAGUUUCUGAAGUGUUGAUUCCCUUUUCAAUUGAUUCCACAGAUGACAGUCCUGACGUUUAAAAAAUUGCCAGAUAACCUUUAAUUUUUUUUUUUUUAACAGAACACAAACUUAAGCCAGAUUGCCUAGGAUUGAACCUUGGCCUCUCACUUCCUAGACGAGUGGCCUUGGCUAGUUAACCACCUUCGUGAGCCUCAGUUUUGUCAUCUGUAAAAUGGGAGUCAUAAGUGUCUACCUCACAGAGCUGUGAUUGAAAGGAUAAAUAGCACCUUGCACAUAGCGGUGUAGAAGUGCUUGUUAUUGUUAAUAUUUUAUUUACCUUCACGCAGGUAACAGCCACAACAUCUGCCCACUCUUCCCCACACCUUACUGUCCCUUGAAAUGUUUCCCAUUUUACUAUAGUAUGCAUUUUUUGGCUUCUUCCCUUUAGGGAAAUGAGUAUGUGAUAGUAAAGCGUGUCUUGGUUUAUGUCCUAGGAGUCAGAAGCUAAGAGACUCCUUUUUGUGCUUGUACAUUUGUCUUAACUGAAAAUAACCCAAGGAUAAGGAAACAAAUAGCUUCCUGAAAUUACUCGGAUUGCGGGGGUGAGGGGUGAGGGCUGGGGGGUGGUGAUUCUGUCUUCAUAGGAUGGCAGCAAAGGCCAAAGUCUUAUUUGAGUUAUUACCAUUAUUAUUCACCACACUUGCCAUCUUAUUUCAAGCCUACAGUGGCGGAAGUGGAGUAAGACAUCAUGUUGCCUCAAGUUUAAUUGGAAAUCGCGUGCCUUGUGAAGAAUGGACACUCAGUAGAUGCUUAUUGAUGAACCUGUUGGUUGAGGAUAACUCGCUAACUUUUCUGAGCUUUGUUGGAAAAACUCAGGUCACUGUAUCUCUAUGCAUUACAGAAAAUGGCUAGUUAAAAACUUGUCAAGAUUAUGAAUGAGUGCAUCCAAAAGUAAUCACUGGAAUUGCUGUUCAUUGUGGGCUUCCCAGCAUUCUCCUCUGGGCAUUUAUAUCAAAUAACUUAUGAGUGAUGCAGAAUUAGUAUUCACCGGUCAGACAUUGAUUAUUUAGAAUUCCCUCUGAUUUGAAUUACAUCUACUGUUUUUUUCUCCCAUCCAUUUAUGGGUCAAAUGUACAAUAAGCCAAAACAUGUUGAUUCUGGUGAAAUUUAGCAGAGAAAAACAGCUUCACCUAGUGGCCACAGAAACUCGAAAAGCUUUACUGAAAAGAAAUAAAUUGGAUAUCUUCUCAUCCUGGAUAUGAACUGGAUUCCAACUUAACCUUCCAACUGUUUUGCUGUUUCUCUGAAGUCUGAACCUUGUGUAUGGCAAUACUUAUCUCAAGCAAAAAUAUAGUUUCACAUUGGUAGUACUGUAUUCAGGAAAACUGGAAAUUGUACUAUGAAGGAGCACUUCUACCACAUCCGUAUCUAAGUCUACAUUCACAGCUGCUGGAAACAGAUAUUGUAUUCAUACUAUGGUGGGAAACACAUAAUGUAUGUAUGUAUACACAUGUGUGCACACAUAUAUAUGCUAGCGUAUAAUCUGGAAAAAUUUUGCUAAGAUAUAUAGGAAGAGAACCUUUUUAUUCAGAAUAUUGAACAAGUAGGACUCAUAGUGUAAAAUUAAGAAAAAUUAUUUUUCUUCUACUGCCCUUUCUAUGGAUUUGGUUCUUCCUCUUCCCCUGAAUGUAAACUUAAGCAGUCUUCUAUGCAUUUUGUGUUCAUUCCUAAAUAUUAGAAAUAGUUAUUUGAUUAUUUAGCCUUUAGUCUCAGUUUAAUAACCAAAAUAUGAGGUUAAAAUUUAAUUCUGGCUACAGAAUUAAGGCUUCUCUCUCCUGCCGCACUUCCAGGCCAGUUGCAGGCAUGAUACCAGCAGUCUGGGAGGUAGAGACAAGAGGACACAUCUCUGCUGCUCCCUUCUUUCCCCAUGGUUAUGCGCCAACUUUGGUUUCACCAGGCCUACAGUGCUUCCCAGGUUUGGAGUGUGGGGAAGGAGAAGAUUUAAUGGAAGCAGCUUAAGGGAAAUGCUCAAACUAAACUGAUACUUUCUUCAUGAUCUAGCAUUGAAACUUUCUGGACUUGACAGAUAUUUAAAAUUAACUCUUUUUCUCAUUAACAUUUUCAUGGGUUCUUCCAAGAUCCACAUUACCCAACCUGUGGGUUCCCAUGACAAGGAUUAAGGCAUCUCUGUUUCUUCUGGACCUUUAUUUACCUGGAUUCUUUCUCUAGGGACUGUUUACCCUUAUGGGCCAUCCUUUUGAGCAUAACCUAACAAGAUUCAUGCUGGCUUUAAGUGAGUGGUCCACAUUUGGUUCAUGGGAAAACCACAUAGUUUGUCCCCAGCAAACCUGGAAGUAAUAUUUAUUUUACUGCUGGAAUUAAGGAAAACCAAAAAUCCUAUUACAAAAUGGCUCCUCUAAACAUUCACAUUACCCCUUUUUGUCUCUACCCCCUGAGGAACUAACCAACUCUAGCUCUUUGGAUUUUCCAAAUGAGAGGUCAACACAUCGAUGUCUCCAAGACCUUAAGUUCUUCUAGUGGUCUCUUUAAGCUUCCUCCCUUGAAUUAUGGUGAAAAGGGACUGCCUGCUACCCCCUCCUCUUGAGGAGAGGGGUGGUAUCACAGCCUAACAAUAAUUUCCAAAAAUUUUCUCCUCCAGCUCUAAUGCUUAACCAGUUUAGACUUUCAAAGUGGAUAAUGUAAUUUAAAGCCUUACAGCUAGUUAUGCUCUACUUCUUCUAUAAGUCCUGCAACCAGGUGGUCUCAAUCCUCACUUGCGAAUACUGCAUUUACUCACCUUGUGCCCUAGCCAAAACUUCCACAACAAAUUCUGUGGUGCAUUUAAGUGAAAGAUGUUAUUUGAUUGAUAGAGAGAUAGAUAGAUAGAUACAGAUAUAGAUAUAGAUAUGUAUUAGAACCAUGUCAAAUGGUUAACUUUUUUAAAAAGGUAAAUUUUUUAUAUUGAGAUAAUUAUAGAUUCUCAUACACUCGUAAGAAAUAACACAGAAAGAUCCCAUGUAGCCUUUAUCCAGUUUCCCCAGUGAUAAUAUCUUGCAAAACUAUAGUCCAAUAUCACAACCAAGAUACUGGCAUUGAUAGAUCACUUCCAUCACCACAAACAUCCCUCAUGUUGCCCUUUUAUAGCCACACUCAUUUCCCUCCUGCUGCCACCCUCUCCUUUACCCAUAACCACUUAUCUGUUCUCUAUUUUUGUAAUUUUAUCAUUUCAAGAAUACUGUAGAAAUGGAAUAAUACAGUAUGUAUUUUAGGGCUUAUCUUUUCUACACUCGGCAUGAUUCUCUGGAG